CCAGUCCCUACACCCUUCCCUAUCUCUUUCCCUUCCUCCAGCUGCUAUACACCUCCCUUUUUCUGUCAGCCCCAGUCCCUAUACCCCUCCCUAAUAGGUUAACUCCUCCAGUCCCUACAGCCCUCCCUAUCUCCGUAACCUCCUGCAGCCCGUAGACCCCCCUCCUUCUCUUAUAGCUCCUUCAGUCCCUGCAAUCCUCGUGCUCUUUCUGUUCUGGAUUCUUGCUCGUUCCCCAGUUUUCACUGGUGGUGCUGGGGCCCUCGGUGUGGAAUUUCCUCCCUGCCUCUCUUGUUCUCUGCCCUCCAUUAUGCCAUGCUCGAAAACCGACCUCUUUCACCAGCCAUUUAGUCACCAGCCCUGAUCCCUCCAUCUCUGUCUCCUUAUUCAAUUAUUCUCUGUGAAGAACCAUCAAAUAUUUUAUUACAUUCAGGGUACAAGAUAAAUACAAGUUGAUUUUCUGUCCAAGUGCCCAAGUAACUUGGCUUCUUUCUGAUUUGAAGAGUUUUCUGUGUGUUUUUCAUAGAGUUUAGCUCCACGAUAUUCACCUGGGACAUAAUGUCAGUCAGGGACUAGACCACAAACCAUGUCAUAAUCAGUUCUAACUUGGUGGAAGAUGGCCAUCAAUAACACAGGCACCGAGACCAAUGGUAGCUCCCACUCCGAACUGUGGUUCUGGAUUUGGAUAUACAGUGGGUCUAUGUUGGAAUAUCUUCCAUUUAUUAAAUUAGGUACCUCCUUCCAAUUGGCAGCAGUACAGAUUGCUCAGUAAUGUUACGCUCAGCUAAGUAGCUCCUUGAUGAUACUAACCUCACCCUUUCCCUUCUUACAGCCCACAAGAUAUCAUUGUGUUUAUCAUUGGAGGAGCGACCUAUGAGGAGGCACAGACUGUCUACAAUCUGAACCGUACCAGCCCAGGAGUGAGGAUCGUGUUGGGUGGGACAACCAUUCACAACACCAAGAGUUUUCUCGAAGAAGUUGCAGCCUCGGGAAUUCCGAGCCAUGUCUCGGAGAGACCACAUGGAGUGAGCCGUUCAUCAAGGCGAUGAAGGCUUGGUUCUGCCUUUCCUAACUAUCAUAUUUCUAAAAGAUCUGGGCUGUGAUUUGUGCUAGUGACUGCUCCUGCUAUUGUACAUGUUUUGUUUGUCUUGGCUUCAUUAAAUACAAACUGAAAUUCUA